UACGAAGGGGGCUAGCGUUGCUCGGAAUCACUGGGCGUAAAGCGCACGUAGGCGGCUUUUUAAGUCAGGGGUGAAAUCCUGGAGCUCAACUCCAGAACUGCCUUUGAUACUGAGAAGCUUGAGUUCGGGAGAGGUGAGUGGAACUGCGAGUGUAGAGGUGAAAUUCGUAGAUAUUCGGAAGAACACCAGUGGCGAAGGCGGCUCACUGGCCCGGUACUGACGCUGAGAUGCGAAAGCGUGGGGAGCGAACGGG
rnacentral:rRNA from 1 species